rnacentral:lncRNA from 1 species
GGGGAAUGCCCUGGGGAUGGUGGCCAGCCCCAACCAAGAGUCCAGCUCAGAAGGUGGCGAGAUGGGUCUGCAGUCAAACAGAAACCAACUCCUCAGGAUGAGUCCUGGCUCAAGGGGAGCACCAGCACCGACAAAGCACGGCCCAGGGAAGAGGCAGCAGCCCCAGGCUGAGCUUAAGGAGAGCUCAAGUGGGACUGAAACCGAAGCUGAGCUCCACUUCUGGCAAAGAAUGUGUGGCAGCCUCCACAUCCUCACAGAUCAGGAGACCACUGUGCUCCCUAUGUCUGUCUCAGACCUAUUUACCUCUCAGUGAUCCUACUCUUUCUGGCACUUGAGAUAAAUGAGAAUGGAGAAGAACAUCCCACUUGUCUGCAGCUGAACAGGGAUUUUCAUCUCUUCUAACGCAAAUAAAGUUUAAAUUAAGUUGAAGUCUUUUUUCUUC